rnacentral:rRNA from 1 species
UGGCUCAGGACGAACGCUGGCGGCGUGCUUAACACAUGCAAGUCGAACGGAAAGGCCUUCGGGGUAUGAGUGGCGAACGGGUGAGUAACACGUGGUGAUUGCCUUGCACUUUGGGAUAAGCCUGGGAAACUGGGUCUAAUACCGAAUAGGAUUCCGCGUUUAAUGGCGUGGGGUGGAAAGCUUUUGCGGUGUGGGAUGGGCCCGCGGCCUAUCAGCUUGUUGGUGGGGUAAUGGCCUACCAAGGCGACGACGGGUAGCCGGCCUGAGAGGGUGUCCGGCCACACUGGGACUGAGAUACGGCCCAGACUCAUACGGGAGGCAGCAGUGGGGAAUAUUGCACAAUGGGCGCAAGCCUGAUGCAGCGACGCCGCGUGAGGGAUGACGGCCUUCGGGUUGUAAACCUCUUUCAGCAGGGACGAAGCGCAAGUGACGGUACCUGUAGAAGAA